CCCACCACCACCAUACUACUACCAUUCACCACCCCCUCCGGUGAAAUCUCCUCCUCCCCCAUAUUACUACCAUUCACCACCCCCUCCCGUGAAAUCUCCUCCACCACCAUACCAUUACAGCUCACCACCCCCUCCCGUCAAAUCUCCACCACCACCAUAUUACUAUCAUUCACCACCCCCUCCAGUCAAGUCUCCUCCUCCACCGUACCAUUACAGCUCACCACCCCCACCAGUAAAAUCCCCACCACCACCAUAUUAUUAUCAUUCACCACCCCCUCCAGUCAAGUCUCCUCCUCCACCGUACCAUUACUCCUCACCACCACCUCCGGUGAAAUCCCCACCACCACCAUACCUAUACAACUCUCCACCGCCACCAGUAAAAUCUCCCCCACCUCCAGUCUACAUCUACGCUUCUCCGCCACCUCCCACACAUUACUAGGCUCGUCAAAUUCAACAAAAUUUCCCCAUUAUUCAAGUAAGUCCAACACUCCAAGCUACACUCUCAACUUUAAUUAAUCCAUCAUGCAUGCAUCCGUUUUAAUAGGUAGCGUUCC
rnacentral:lncRNA from 1 species